UACGAAGGGGGCUAGCGUUGCUCGGAAUCACUGGGCGUAAAGGGUGCGUAGGCGGGUCUUUAAGUCAGGGGGGAAAUCCUGGAGCUCAACUCCAGAACUGCCUUUGAUACUGAAGAUCUUGAGUUCGGGAGAGGUGAGUGGAACUGCGAGUGUAGAGGUGAAAUUCGUAGAUAUUCGCAAGAACACCAGUGGCGAAGGCGGCUCACUGGCCCGAAACUGACGCUGAGGCACGAAAGCGUGGGGUGCAAGCAGG
rnacentral:rRNA from 1 species